rnacentral:rRNA from 1 species
CCAGACUCCUACGGGAGGCAGCAGUGAGGAAUAUUGGUCAAUGGUCGGGAGACUGAACCAGCCAAGCCGCGUGAGGGAUGAAGGUACAGAGUAUCGUAAACCUUUUUUGUCAGGGAACAAAGGCGGGGACGCGUCCCCGGAUGAGUGUACCUGAAGAAAAAGCAUCGGCUAACUCCGUGCCAGCAGCCGCGGUAAUACGGAGGAUGCGAGCGUUAUCCGGAUUUAUUGGGUUUAAAGGGUGCGCAGGCGGGCUGUUAAGCCGGCGGUAAAAAUUCAGGGCUCAACCCUGUCGAGCCGUCGGAACUGGCAGUCUUGAGAUGUCGAGAGGUAUGCGGAAUGCGCAGUGUAGCGGUGAAAUGCUUAGAUAUUGCGCAGAACUCCGAUUGCGAAGGCAGCAUACCGGCGGCGAUCUGACGCUGAGGCACGAAAGCGUGGGUAUCGAACAGGAUUAGAUACCCUGGUAC